rnacentral:rRNA from 1 species
UAUUAGAUCUCGAUCACGGGUUUCCCCUAGAAUUCAUCAGGUGGCGGAUCGGGUUCCCACUUGAGUCUCUUGAGAGCGGCGGACGGGUGAGUAAUGCCUAGGAAUCUGCCUGGUAGUGGGGGAUAACGUUCGGAAACGGACGCUAAUACCGCAUACGUCCUACGGGAGAAAGCAGGGGACCUUCGGGCCUUGCGCUAUCAGAUGAGCCUAGGUCGGAUUAGCUAGUUGGUGAGGUAAUGGCUCACCAAGGCGACGAUCCGUAACUGGUCUGAGAGGAUGAUCAGUCACACUGGAACUGAGACACGGUCCAAACUCCUACGGGAGGCAGCAGUGGGGAAUAUUGGACAAUGGGCGAAAGCCUGAUCCAGCCAUGCCGCGUGUGUGAAGAAGGUCUUCGGAUUGUAAAGCACUUUAAGUUGGGAGGAAGGGUUGUAGAUUAAUACUCUGCAAUUUUGACGUUACCGACAGAAUAAGCACCGGCUAACUCUGUGCCAGCAGCCGCGGUAAUACAGAGGGUGCAAGCGUUAAUCGGAAUUACUGGGCGUAAAGCGCGCGUAGGUGGUUUGUUAAGUUGGAUGUGAAAUCCCCGGGCUCAACCUGGGAACUGCAUUCAAAACUGACUGACUAGAGUAUGGUAGAGGGUGGUGGAAUUUCCUGUGUAGCGGUGAAAUGCGUAGAUAUGGGAAGGAACACCAGUGGCAAGGCGACCACCUGGACUAAUACUGACACUGAGGUGCGAAAGCGUGGGGAGAAAACAGGAUUAGAUCCCCUGGUAGUCCACGCCGAAAAGAUGUCACCUAGCCGUUUGAAGCCUUGAGCUUUUAGUGCCCCACCUAACGCAUUAGGUGGACGGCCUGGGGAAGUACGGGCCGCAGGUUAAAACUCAAAUGAAUUGACGGGGGCCCGCACAGGCGGUGGAGUUGUGGUUUAAUUCAAAGAAACGCAAAGAACCUUACCAGCCUUGAAUCCAUUGAACUUUCUAGAAUUAGUUUGGUGGCCUUCCGGAACAUUGAAAAGGGCUGCAUGGCUUGCCCUCAGCUCUGUCGUGAAAUGUGGGGUAAUCCCGAA